UGACUGGAACACGCCUUUGGGUAGCAUGGGAACAGGCAGGCUUGGUCUGGGAAAGGGAGCAGGCUGUUCAUUUCUGUUGCACAAUCCAAUUAGCUCCGAGUUCCACCGAUAAGAAACAGCACCAGAUCACUACAGAAGCUUUGUGUGAGAAGUCGUGCGUCUAAUAGCUGGCUGGUAAACAAUCGGCAGCAUCUUCAACAGGUUCCGCGUUCACCAGGGAUCUACGACAGCUGGUUAACAACAGAGAUCAUGCUGACUGCUUACCUGCUGGCAAUCUUCUUCAUCUGCGCAGGAAUCACAGCAGAAGCUGUCCGUCCACCAUGCAACGAGGACCUGUUUGACAUCAAUGUUGACAACUGCCUGUUGGAUUUCAACAAAAGCAUGGAGACAAGUGACUAUCAGAACAUGUGCCCGUGGCCUAUGGUUCAAAGCAACUACAACAAAUUGAUGACAUGUGUGGAAGACUGGGCUAAGAAGACUCGGUGUUGGGGUUAUGGAUUUUUGGUAGAUGAGAUUUACUUGGAGGUCCACCAGACGUACUUUUCGCUAUGUGGAUACGUUCGUGACCCCCCACUCUUCACUCUCAUCAUGUUAAUAGCACCGUGUAUUAUUGUCACACUUUUUCUGCCUCUUCUGUGUGUUCACAUCGCCCCCAGGGACACAUAAAUACCCAGCGAAGGAAAAUUGGAAUAUUUUUUUAGCCAGUGUUCUGACAGUGCUAACUGUGCUUGCUACCUCUGUUGCAGAGAUUCAGGAAAUUCAUCCUGGAAGAAGACACUUCAAGCUAAUAAACAAUCAUUUUACAUAAAUCAGAAAAUACAUUUUCUAUUCAAUGAAGUAGUGAAAACGCCUGACUACUUAAGUUUGGUUGGAGAAGUAUCUUGGGCUGUUCACAAAGAGUUUCAUGAUCCAAAAGACUGCAACGGAGAGGACAACUGUACAACUGAGACUCUUUUGGACCUAAAUGUAUUUAUCCAAGCAGACAAAUUGCAGGGGAGCUUAUAAACGGGUGUCGUAAAUUGAGCAACAAUGACUGCAAAUCCCCCAAAGGUCACGUUUGGUGGAACAAAGCAAAAAUCUCACCUGUUUUAAAUAUUCCCCUGUCCCCUUCAGGAUCCCUGUGCACCUCUGCACCAUUUCCAGCGCUCUGGCUGUUUUCCGAUCUCUCUCUCUGGAACUCCUCCUCUGAUCACUUGUAUGUCCUCCCUUUUGUUAAAACAACAACACUUCCAGCCUUAAAUUUAAUAUUUCGAGAAGAAUGUCAGAGAACAACAUCUAGUGACUAGUGACUGACAUUACCUCCAGUCACCAUCAUAGUGUUGGUAUGUGGCUUUCAUAGUGUCAGCACACAAAGCAUCCACUACAGGUCAGGUCCUUUUUGACAAAUGCUCUCAUGAGACACCUCAGAUUUUUACAAAAGACACUCUUGACCUUAUGUGCUGCCUCUGCACUUGGACAGUUUUUAUUUUUUUCACCAAAAAUUGUAUUUCUAAAAUGUUUUUUUGUUUUAUAAAUCAUCAUUAUGACCUGUAUAGAGUGAGCCAGACUAAUUACAAGUGCUGGAAGCCGUCCCGAGGUCCCACAAAGGCAGUCUUGAGGGAGACAUUGGCUAAAUCUACAAAGCUAUGUUUUUUAUGUUUGAGUUCCAAAACCAUAAUGCACAGAAAACAACAACAUUUUACAGGAUUUUGUCAUCCAACUGUAAAAUUAUAGGAGAUAUUUUACUAUUUAAAAAAUAACAUUGUUUUGAAUAUUACCCGCCAUAAACAAAUAUGAACACAACUGGAGGAAAUCUAUGAAAAUGUAACCAUUUUAUUGUUGUAGUGAUUUUUCCCUGCAAAGGUCAAACACUGUAUUUCUCUGUGACUUGUUUGGUAAAUAUACAGUACAUAUUUAUCACAUUAUACAGUCUGUAAAAUGAACAUACACUGAGCACUUACCUAAUGAAUGUCCUUCACUUCCAUUAUUCUUCCAUGUGUGGCAGAAGUAAUCUGGUUUAUACUGUAAUCAUUUUUAUGUUGACAGAAAUAAAAACAAUUCCAUUUGUAUUUGAAACACAUAAUAAAUAUUUAUUUCAGACAAAAAAAUAAUGCUUUACAGUUUUUUGAAAACCUCUUUGUAGCCAUAGCAAGACAGACCUGCUAUUAAAGUAUUCACACGACCUAAGUGUCAUCUACAGAUGCAAACAUACCGCAUUUAAUUAUUUUUUCAUCCAAUUACUACUUAAAAGGACUGUUGUGCAGAGCUCAUGCAGAAAACUGUGUCAGUAAAACAAUGUAAAGAUCCAUUAGGUGUUUUGGGGGGAUUUCAAUACUUGAAUAAUUUUAUGGUUCCUUGUAAUCUGCAAAGGAUGCUAGCGUUCUUAAUCUGACUGAGGAUCAGUUGCCCAGCAAAAAAACAGAAAGCAAGUUGAAUGUUUUAAGCCAAAGAGGAAUUUUCUCAAGAAUCGGUGGGUAAACUAGAGACUGUUCAGAUCCAGGAGUGCCAAUUGGUGAUAUUAUGUCUAAUAAGACUCUAGCAUCAUUUAUGCACAAGGUGUUUUUUGGUAUUUGUUACCUGAUGCACACGGUUAAUUAAAUAAGUGCCACUUCAAACUCCUUGUUCCCCAACAUGCAGGUAAAGUUACCAAGUAGCGCCUAACUCUAAUAAGCAAAUUUAAGCGAAAUUUGCUAAUGCGGGUCUCUAAAACGGGACCAUUAAUUGUCAGCAGGUAAUCUUGCCACCAAAAACACACCUUGUGCAUAACAGGGAGUCCCAAUUAACUGCUGACCCCGCUGAUCAUGAGACUCGCUAGCUGUUGUGUGUUGUAGAGUUCUUUGGUCUGUCUCUUAUUAAAACCUUGCUAAAUGCAGCUUACACCGUGCUGGGAGAAACGUAUAGUCGUUUUGUCUUUCGUGGAUCAGUCACACUAGAGUAAAAACAGUCCUUAUGAUUAAAAAAAACUGGUGGUUGAUGUGAUUUCAUGGAACUUUGUUGCUGUCAAAGACCAAGUGCAACUACUGGUGUCGACCAACUGGUCACCCAGAGGUUGAGUGGGUGACGCCCUCAACCUCUGGGCGACCACUUUCAACUGGAAGGCAGUUGCACAGGUUGCCAAGUGGAGACAACUUAUUCGUGAUGGGAAUGGGACUCACUGUAAUCACUCUCCGACUGGCAAAGGUUUUCAAAUAAUCAUUGCGUAUUUUGUAAGCACAGAAAGAGUCGGUCUGUGCAGAUGAGUGCAACUCGACUGUGACAACUCCUUGCAAUACGGGACUCGACUCAAGUGGUUGCCGGCUGCUUGUAUCCCGAUUACAUUCCUCUAUUAAAAACAAGGCUGCAGAGUUUUUGCACAGGUAAAACCACAUCCUACUCACUCUGUCUUAGUGCUCUUUUAUCACCGUCUGGACUCAGUAAAUUUGCUUUGAAGAGUACAACUGACUGUGAGUGGUUUCCAGACCUGGUUCAUUUAGUUUUCCCUAGUGUGACUUCAGCAUAAACAAAUAGCAUAAUCUUAAAAACCAUUGGUGUUUCUCACUGAACUGAACUGAACGUAUUAUUAUUCUAUGAAUAAAAAAAUACUAUCCACAAAAAGGAAGAUUAAAAAAGGAUAAUACUGGAGAUAGUAUUUAAUUUACAGCAGGAGAUGAGGAAAAUCUGAUACCAAAGACAGAAGAAAAAAAAAUUAGUGGCAUUCCUUCAGCAUCCACCAUAUUUCUGUUGCUCUUAAGAAAAUAUCAGUAUUACUGCAUUUCCUUGUAGCAGUUAAUCUCGUUUCACAUGUAUCUGAUUUAUCGUUAUAUAUAGUCAAACCGAGUACACUAUUCAAUAUGCUAAAGACCCAAGCUUGUCAGAUGUCUUCACUCAAGCUGAUGACAGUGGAUUAGUCUUGGUUCAAAAAUAACAGAGCUAAGUCUUAGAAUUGGGUGGGUGGCCUGGCCUGCUACCACUGAGGCAUAAGGUGACGAAAUGAGGUGACGUGAGAAC